GAUCUGAGAAUCCGCGGAAACACAGAACAGGAAUCAGAAUUCAGAACAAAGAAAAGCAUAUAUUACGAUGCGGCCUCUAAAUUCAUUCCAGAAAUUAUCGAGAUCUGGUUUCUACCUUCGACGAGACUUUUCGCAAGGAAAAAAAGUCAUUGUCUAGACGUUGCUUGCAAAUAUAAACUACGUCAAAUUAUUGGAGGAUGGAUAACCACGUAAGUCAAUCAAUUUUUAUCAUGUAGUUCUUUUCUUUGUCUUUUAUCAUUUGGUAGUAGUCUUUUGUAUGUCCAUGUCAUAUCAAUCUUUGGGACAUUAUCGGCAUCUCCACUAUACCUGUAUAUUAGGUUUUGUGUGAUUCAUUGUUACUUUAUGAGUGUGUCACAGUUACCCUAAAAAGACGGAACCAACCAUUUUGCAAAGGGACAAAACGAAAACUCUUUUCAUGCAUUGAUAACCAUUUGGUUUAUUCAAA